GGGCCCGCACAAGCGGUGGAGCAUGUGGUUUAAUUCGAAGAUACGCGAGGAACCUUACCAGGGCUUAAAUGUAAGUUGCAUAAGUUAGAGAUAGCUUUUUCUUCGGACUACUUACAAGGUGCUGCAUGGUUGUCGUCAGCUCGUGCCGUGAGGUGUCAGGUUAAGUCCUAUAACGAGCGCAACCCCUGUUGUUAGUUGCCAUCGAGUAAUGUCGGGAACUCUAACAAGACUGCCGGUGCAAACCGUGAGGAAGGUGGGGAUGACGUCAAAUCAUCACGGCCCUUACGAGUAGGGCUACACACGUGCUACAAUGGUGCAUACAAAGGGUUGCGAUCUCGCAAGAGCUAG
rnacentral:rRNA from 1 species